rnacentral:misc_RNA from 1 species
UUAUGUCUGGAUGAUAUGCGCUGUUACUUACAAGGUAUAUACAUAUGAAAGUCUUUCGGAUGUCAUUGAAAUAUUCUUGUGUGUCACUUAUGUAUUUUCCAUCCCUGAUCUACAUAAUCAAUGGUGCCUAAAUAAAGUAGUCCAGAGAGAGCAGUAGCUACUGCUUUAGAAAACUGUCUUGGAGAGUUUUUAUAUUCGAAUUGAAUUUUGUCCACUCAUAUACGGGGUAAUAAACGCUAAUUUAUAUCGGUGUGUUUUACCAAGUAGAAUGUUCAUAAAGCCCUGCUGCAUAUCUAUUAUGUUAAAAUAUUUCGACCCUUUUAGACAAUCAAAUAUUGUUUGUAUAUUCGUGAUUAGGAAAUUCUGAUGUGGUACUUGUUUGUUUAUUUGUCUGCUGCGUACGGACCCCCCUAUUCCGCCCCUACACAUAGUUUUAAUACGCAAUAUGUAAUAUACUAUAUAUUCGCACACACAUAAGAUAGUCAGGAUGAUGUCAGCGACAGCGUUACGACGUGACCCUGGGAGAGGAAUAGAUAUCCGAUAUAGUAAUAGUCACGGCAUAGGCCAGAUGCGACAGAACGGGCCACCGACAAGAGCUAGUAAAAUAUAAGAUACUGUGGGAAAUACUCGGGCGUAGUAGAUUUUGUGAAUCGGACUUGGCACUGUGGCAGGACUACACGAAUAACGAAACACUGAGUUGAUCAGAGAACUAACCAGUAAUAGGCACAUCUGCAACCCAGAUGUGUCACAGACUCGCACAUGCACUAUAUGAGAACUACCUAAUUAUGGAAGGCGACCACACGGACCGCGAGAAACGGCGACACGAGUCGCUAGGGACAAGUAGAGUAGAGGUUCGCACUAUAUAGGGAGACCCGAAACGGCCCAUGCUCAGACGUGAUUCCACAAGGUGCGGACGAGCACCUCCGCGCCAGACCUCUUGUUGAAUUCACACUUUUUGACUUAAAUUAUUUCGAUCAACGACGUUUUUUCGGGACUUGGAAAAUAUUCGAGCAAUCAUAUCUUGUGUAAUGGUUAAUACACGACAGACAUACAAUAUAAUUUCACUCAGUUUGCGUUUAAGUAUUUCAAUCACCCAUCAUUCUAUCCUGUCACCGACACUUGUAAGUGGGUGUACGCUACAUUUUGGCGCAGUUGGAAAUGGAACCGACACCAGCAGAAAGUCCAAAGUCGAAGAACUUCAUUUUAUCUGGUAUUUUGGAAGAAAUUGUUAGUUGUCGAAGUCGAGAUGCAAUUACCCAAGAGUAUCUUAUGGAAUGUAUAAUUCAGAUUUCCAUGGACCAUGGAGGUAAUUCAUUAGAACCACCGUUGGAAGACUGAUCACCUAUCAACGACUCUGUUGGAGAACUUACGUUGCAACUGCUAACGCAAGACGACAGAUAACAGAUGACGACAGCGAGGGCAGCAGCAGCCAGCGUU